rnacentral:rRNA from 1 species
AGUUCGAUUCUUCUGGCUCAGAUUGAACGCUGGCGGGAUGCUUUACACAUGCAAGUCGAACGGCAGCACGGACUUCGGUCUGGUGGCGAGUGGCGAACGGGUGAGUAAUGUAUCGGAACGUGCCUAGUAGUGGGGAUAACUACGCGAAAGCGUAGCUAAUACCGCAUACGCCCUUCGGGGGAAAGCGGGGGACCUUCGGGCCUCGCACUAUUAGAGCGGCCGAUAUCGGAUUAGCUAGUUGGUGGGGUAACGACUCACCAAGGCGACGAUCUCAGGCUUAGUUUGAGAGGACGACCAGCCACACUGGGACUGAGACACGGCCCAGACUCCUACGGGAGGCAGCAGUGGGGGAAUUUGGACAAUGGGGGAAACCCUGAUCCAGCCAUCCCGCGUGCGAUGAAGGCCUUCGGGUUGUAAAGCACUUUUGGCAGUGAGCAAACGGCACGGAUAAUACCCCGUGCAACUGACGGUACUGCAGAAGGUACCGGCUAACUACGUGCCAGCAGCCGCGGUAAUACGUAGGGUGCAAGCGUUAAUCGGAAUUACUGGGCGUAAAGCGUGCGCAGGCGGUUCGGAAAGAAAGAUGUGAAAUCCCAGAGCUUAACUUUGGAACUGCAUUUUUAACUACCGAGCUAGAGUGUGUCAGGGAGGAGGUGGAAUUCCGCGUGUAGCAGUGAAAUGCGUAGAUAUGCGGAGGAACACCGAUGGCGAAGGCAGCCUCCUGGGAUAACACUGACGCUCAUGCACGAAAGCGCGGGGAGCAAACAGGAUUAGAUACUCCUGGUAGUCCACGCCUCUAAAACGAUGUCGCAUCUAGCUGUUGGGGCCUCUCGGGCCUUGGUAGUAGCGCAGCCAAUGUGCGUGGCUGACCGCCUGGGGAGUACGGUCGCAAGAUUAAAACUCAAAGGAAUUUGAUGGGACCCGCACAAGCGGUGGAUGAUGUGACGGCAAUCUGAUGCAACGCGAAAACCUUACCUACCCUUGACAUGUCUGGAAUCCCGAAGAGAUUUGGGAGCGUUCGCAAGAGAACCGGAACACAGGUGCUGCAUGGCUGUCGUCAGCUCGUGGCCGUGAGAUGUUGGGUUAUGAGUCCGCAACGAGCGCAACCCUUGUCAUUAGUUGCUACGAAAGGGCACUCUAAUGAGACUGCCGGUGACAAACCGGAGGAAGGUGGGGAUGACGUCAUCCUCAUGGCCCUUAUGGUGGGUCACACCAGCCGUCAUACAAUGGUCGGGACAGAGGGUCGCCAACCCGCGAGGGGGAGCCAAUCCCAGAAACCCGAUCGGUCCGGAUCGCAGUCUGCAGCCCGACCGCGUGAAGUCGGAAUCGCUAGUAAUCGCGGAUCAGCAUGUCGCGGUGAAUACGUUCCCGGGUCUUGUACACACCGCCCGUCACACCAUGGGAGAGUGGAGCCAAUGAGAAGCAGUUAGCCUGCAACCGUAAGGAGGGCGAUUACCACGGUAGGAUUCAUGACUGGGGUGAAGUCGUAACAAGGUAA